rnacentral:rRNA from 1 species
UUUUGGAGAGGGCAACCACUGGAAACGGUGGCUAAUACCUCAUAUUGCUGAGAAGUGAAAUGAUGAAUAAUCUGCCAAGAGAUGGGCUUGCGUCUGAUUAGCUAGUUGGUGGGGUAAUGGCUUACCAAGGCGAUGAUCAGUAGCUGGUCUGAGAGGAUGAUCAGCCACACUGGGACUGAGACACGGCCCAGACUCCUACGGGAGGCAGCAGUGAGGAAUUUUCCGCAAUGGGCGAAAGCCUGACGGAGCAAUGCCGCGUGAAGGAUGAAGGCCUGUGGGUUGUAAACUUCUUUUCUCAGAGAAGAAAUAAUGACGGUAUCUGAGGAAUAAGCAUCGGCUAACUCUGUGCCAGCAGCCGCGGUAAGACAGAGGAUGCAAGCGUUAUCCGGAAUGAUUGGGCGUAAAGCGUCUGUAGGUGGCUUGAAAAGUCUCCUGUCAAAGAUCAGGGCUUAACCCUGGGCCGGCAGGAGAAACUCUUAGGCUAGAGUUCGGUAGGGGCAGAGGGAAUUCCCGGUGGAGCGGUGAAAUGCGUAGAGAUCGGGAGGAACACCAAAGGCGAAAGCACUCUGCUGGGCCGCGACUGACACUGAGAGACGAAAGCGAGGGGAGC